AAACUGCGAUAAGUAGUGUGAAUUGCAUUUAGUGAAUCAUCGAAUCUUUGAACGCACCCUGCACUCACUGGUAUUCCGGUGAGUACCCCUGUUUCAGUAUCAUUGAAAACACACAAUCAAAACAUUUUCUUUGGUUUGAUUGGCUUUGGGUCUAUCAAAAAGUUUGGCUUGUUUCUUACAAGCCAAGCGGCCUGAAAUAUAUUGUCUGGCUAAUUGCAUCGUUGAUGAUCGCUAUUAGACUUUGGCUUUUUUAAAUGAACUGGAGGUUGAUUAACCAGUUUUAGCUUUAGUCAAAUGGUCAUUGUAAAAAAAAUCUCGAUCUUGGCUAGGUGUUUAUAGCCGAAAAUUUUUUUUGGCUAUAACCGAAACCAAUAUAAUCACAUUUAGUUAUCGAUCUGAAAUCAGGUGGGACUACCCGCUGAACUUAAGC
rnacentral:misc_RNA from 1 species